rfam:Pan troglodytes isolate Yerkes chimp pedigree #C0471 (Clint) chromosome 19, whole genome shotgun sequence.
GCUGGGUGUGGUGGCGUGUGCCUGUAGUCCCAGCUACACGGGAGGCUGAGGCAGAAGAAUCACUUGAACCCAGGAGGCGAAGUUUGCAGUGAGCAGGGAUCGUGCCACUGCACUCCAGCCUGGGUGACAGAGUGAGACUCUGUCUCAA